rnacentral:rRNA from 1 species
CCCAGACUCCUACGGGAGGCAGCAGUGAGGAAUAUUGGUCAAUGGCCGAGAGGCUGAACCAGCCAAGUCGCGUGAGGGAAGACGGCCCUACGGGUUGUAAACCUCUUUUGUCGGGGAGCAAAUUCCGCCACGUGUGGCGGAGUCGAGAGUACCCGGAGAAAAAGCAUCGGCUAACUCCGUGCCAGCAGCCGCGGUAAUACGGAGGAUGCGAGCGUUAUCCGGAUUUAUUGGGUUUAAAGGGUGCGUAGGCGGCUUGUUAAGUCAGGGGUAAAAGGGGGGGGCCCCCCCCCGGCCCGCCGUUGAAACUGGCAGUCUCGAGUUGGAGAGAAGUAUGCGGAAUGCGCGGUGUAGCGGUGAAAUGCAUAGAUAUCGCGCAGAACUCCGAUUGCGAAGGCAGCAUGCCGGCUCCACACUGACGCUGAGGCACGAAAGCGUGGGUAUCGAACAGGAUUAGAUACCCCCGUAGU